CGUGCUCGGCUGCUAUCUUUUCACUUAUUCUUUUUGUUUUCCUUUUCUCACAGCUGCUUUACUUCAAUUUCCACUGUCAAAAACCCGAUGAACACGAGCUUGUUUGGUCAUUCUUGCCAAGUCGAAUUAGGGAUGGAUUUGGAGACAGCAAUCAAUUUGGCAAUGGAAUUGAAGAUGGGCCGCAACUAUAUUCUUGUCCAGAAAGGAUUUCAGAGCCUGCAAUUUAGAUUUCUGCACACAAAUUGGGUGAGGAUUUCGUUCUUUAUUUUACUCCUUGGUUUGAUCUGUGUACAACAAAACUGAAAUUUCUUCUUGAUUCUCUUCAUCGGUGACUCUGGGCUUUGAAUGUUGUUUUCUAGUGUUGCAAUUUUAUCGCGGUGAGUUCGAACAAGGCAAGGGUGUACUUUGGGUUGUGACAGCAAUACUCCUGCCUUUGACUCUUCCGAUGCGUAUAUGAGCCUAUUUUGAAGAGGGCAUUCUUUGAUUCCACCGAUAAGUUCCUGCAAUUAACUCCUUUUUCCUUUACUGCAGGAACUACAGGGGAAACCUCACCGGGUGGGUGCUGUUAUUGAGGUUCAAAACGGACCAGGUGAUAGUGGUCACAGCAGUGUUGGAAGUCUCAAAACUUUAUUUUAAGGAGUUCCCUUUUUUAUCAUCAUUUUUAAUUUGAAUCACGACCCUAUAUGGAAGCAAGGUCUGGAUGGUGAUCCACAAAGGGCCCUCUGUCAUGUUCCGGUUUAUUAAACUGCCGAAACUUGAGGAUGAUAUCGGCACCCUAAGGCUCGCCGUUUCAAAGUUCUGAAAACAGUAUUGGCACCGUAAGGCACCGCCACCGGAGCUUUGAAAGUAUUUUCGGCACCCUAAGGCACGCCGAGUUGAAGCUCAACGACAAUAUCGGCACCCUAAGGCACGCCGUGUCGGAGCAUGAUAUUGAUACCCUACGGUAUCGCUGGAGGCCUGCAUCAAUUUGAGAACAGCAAAGGAAAAGGUGCAGAUCGGUGAAAGUCUCACCCUCUUCCUUCUUGCUUUCUUCCUCUGCUUCUUCCCGGUCUCCUGAUGCUGCUAUGUUCUAUAUUUUCGUCCUCUGGUCCUCCUUUUCUUUUCUUCACAUCAUGCUUAUAUAAUGCACUAGUGACGAGUUUGACUUGCAUACAACAUUGAGAGUUUUAGAGUUCAACUCGAAGUGAACUAGUUGGAAACUUUAUCUCCACAAUAUUUUUUCUCUUCUGACGUCAAAACUGUAACUUAUUUUUUUAAUUGCAUUGCUGGCAAGACUUCUAACAAACCUAGAAGUCCAAUGCUUUACGAGCUUGACAAUUGUACUUCUUCACAUUCUUUUGUCUUUUGCCAUAGAAAUGCACUAGACGUCAAUCUCGUUGUAAUUGGAUAUAUGAAUUUUUUCGGUUUCAACAGUCUCCAAGUCAUCUUGUUCUCCAAGUUUGCUUCUCCUACAAGAUUGCUUCUCCUCCAAGUAAAUAAACUUCUUCUACAAGCUAUGACUCAUAAGUCAACAGAAAGGAAUUCGAGUACUACAACGAGGUUAGGGCAGCUUAACGAGGCAGGUUAAAUUCCUUUGAAGGUGCCCUUUAAGGAUGCAAUGGUCUGCUGCUCUUGAAGGCAUGUGGCUUUGGUUCUUUUAAUUGUCCUUAUCAAGAUUUGACCUUCUUCUCUGUUUCUCUUUUGGUUUUAGUUUUUAGCUUUUCAGUUGAUGAUCAUGAAUGCAAUUACAAGAAUAUGAAUUCUAAAUUAUC